rnacentral:rRNA from 1 species
AUUGAACGCUGGCGGCAGGCCUAACACAUGCAAGUCGAACGAGUGGCGGACGGGUGAGUAAUGUCUGGGAAACUGCCUGAUGGAGGGGGAUAACUACUGGAAACGGUAGCUAAUACCGCAUACCAUCAGAUGUGCCCAGAUGGGAUUAGCUUGUUGGGGGGGUACCGGCUCACCAAGGCGACGAUCCAUAGCUGGUCUGAGAGGAUGACCAGCCACAGUGGAACUGAGACACGUUCCAGCCUCCUACGGGAGGCAGCAGUGGGGAUUUUUGCACAAUGGGCGAAAGCCUGAUGCAGCCAUGCCGCGUGUGUGAUGAAGGCUUUCGGGUCGUAAAGUACUUUCGUCGGGGAGGCGUUACCCGCAGAAGAAGCACCGGCUAACUCCGUGCCAGCGGCCGCGGUAAUUC